GCAGGACCCGUGGGGGAGCUCCCAGGCAAGAGUAAAGGUACCUGGCCCUGGGGUCCCAGUGGGUCGCUCACAGUGCCCCAGAUUCUCCUGUAAGUUCUCAAACGGGGAGAAGCCAGGGGGCUCAAGGGGAGCCUGCAGGGGAAGGGAGCCAUGGGCCUGCCCUAAGGGAAGGCCAUGCAGCUCAGAGAGGUGUAGCUCAGAGAGGGCAGAGCCCUUGGGCUGCCAGAGCACCAACUUCAGAUGGAUAUCCAGAUUUGUACAUGGGAUGGCCAAAAUCUGAAAGCACUGCAGGACUAGGAAACACAUGCUUGGAUUGACCCUGCCCCUGCCCCCAGGUUGCAAGCCCCGUGUAUGGGGGAGGUGGCUCAUGUUAAAAGCAGGCUUCCUAGUGACCCCAGCCCCAGCCAAGGCCUAGAGAGGAAAGCCCCAGGCAUCUGGGGAGCCAGAGGGAGGGUGUGUACUUCAUCACCCAAUAACACAGGGAAGUUGAGCUGUCAGGUAACCCAUGCGUACUUGCUUCUCAGAGGCCAGAUUUAUUUAUUUCAGGAGAUUUGAAGUUAAAAUGAGAUACCUUCCCUUCUCUGGCCCCAAGUCCUCUCGAGCAGCUUCCAUGUCCACUGAGGCAGUGCCUACAGGGAUCAGUGUGUAAUGAAGGAAAGACAGGAUGCAGAAAAUGAGCCUGAACUUGAAGUUGUUUGGGGUCCCACAUGGUGAGCCCCAGUGGGUGGCAAGUACCAUGGCCCUGCAGAGAGAUGGGCCUGCCCCAUAUCAAGUAUCACCUCGCCUCUCUGAGCCUCAGUUUCCUCGCCUAUAAAAUGGGCUUAAUAGGGGCUAGGGCUAUAGCUCAGGGUUAGAGCGCUUGCCUAGCACAUGUGAGGCACUGGGUUUGAUCCUCAGCACCACAUAAAACUAAACAAAUAAAAGAAAGGCAUUCUGUCCAUCUACAACUAUAAUUUUUUUUUAAUGGGCUUAAUAGUUCCGACUCACACAGCAGAUCUUCAGGAGUCAUUAGUGACUGCUAUGUUCCUGAGGACCAGUGGCCCAGGCUUCUGGCUCCUGUCACAGGUCACCUGUCUCUGGGGCAGCUCAGGAAUUUCUCUCUUGCAUCUCAAGUCAACUCUCGUUUGCUUUCCUUUUCCUUCUCAUGUUUAUGUUCUUUUCCUAGCAGCCUCUCUGAGCCCCUCCCCUGUGCCUACAGCCCUUGCCAGGCCUGAGAGGCAGGUCCCUGCUGUGAGAAGCUGCUGAAUGUCCCCUGUAAUGAAAGCAGCUGGGACAGUCUGUUGAAUGCCACCAGAGACUGGCAGCUCCUUACCUCUCUGACAGUAUUGUUGCAGAAAUUGUAGGUGAAACCUCCCAGGUAUCCAUGAGCCCUAACUGGGAGGACCAGAAGGGAGACAGGUCCCCACGCAGUGGCUCUGUGUCUGAGGCAUCUGGUUUUGCUGGAGAAACCAUAAUAUUGUAAGAAUGUCCUGAGAACUUGGUGAGGUACUGAUUUCAGUCUUCAGGAAAAGAAUCGCUAGUGAUGGAUGCAUGCUUUUAGAAAACCAGAACCCUGUUUCCCCUUUCUGCUCACCGCCAUUCAGCAAUGCCAAGGCCAUGUGGGUGACCCCACCCACCUCCUAACAAGCCGGCCUCUGUCCUUGAGGACAACAGACAUGUGCUUUGGUUUUCUGGGUUUAAACCCCUCCGGCUGCCAAUAUCUGAAAACCCGGAUAAAAUAUGAGAAGAAAAGGAAUCACUGAAGUGACAAACAAAGCUACUGCAAAAAGUGGGCCACUGCAUCCAGGAGACUGAAGAGCAAGACCCAGGCACAGAGGCCUGCAGUCUCCCCAGGCCGCCUGCAGACUUUGCAGGGCCCAGUGUAAGAUGAAAAUGUGUGGCCUUGUUCAAAAAUGACAAGCAGGUCGGGAUGAUGGCAGACAGCAGUGAGCUGCGCUCAGGCCCUCCUGGGCCUGGGGCCCUGGGUGGCAGCGUAGGUGAAAAGCCCGAAGCCAGCCUGCCCCCUGCACCUGUUCAAGCCAAGUGCUGAGGCCAGGGAGACCGGCGGGCGUCCUCAUGGCUCCUGGAGGAGCCCUGAUGGUUCUCUCCUGCUUGUGGUUCCAUCGUGGAGGCCCCAUGUAACCUGGGACAUUCUGAAUCCUCACAAAAAAAGAAAACCAUCUUUCUUUCCGUUUUUCCUUUUCUUUUCCUUUUCUUUCUUUUUUUAGAAAACCAUCUGUCAAUCACCUUUGAAACCAUGCUGGGCCAGCCCUGGGAACCUCGGCCGUGUCCAGGAGCACAUAGUGAUAGUGUUUCAACGUCAGCGUCUGAGCGUCUUGUUGUGUGUGGUUGACCUUCUGCUAGUUCUCUAACUGUUGAGCACAGACCUUUGCUUUCCUUGGAAGAUCCUGUUCCCCAAUUGACUCCAACACCUGCUCGCGUUCCCCUGGAGGCUUUCCUCAACCAACCCCUCAUUACACGCACAGAUUCCUCCCGAGCAUUUUCAGUUUUCCCUUCUAGAAACAGCACUGGAAGGACAUGUGUGCGCAUUUGUUUCCUAAGGGAGAAAACCAUGCUUUGGUGCUGCUGCUGCUUCUGGGUAUGGGAGAACUUUUAGUUCCAGAAGUUUCUUAGACUUGUCAGUGGAAUCCCAUUUUGCCCAAGGACUUCGGUCUUGACUCUCUUAUGCAGUUCUAGGGCUGCAGCCCUGGCAUCUGUAACCGGCCUCUUUGUGGAUGAGGACCUGGGCUCCCCGAAUAGCAGCCCUGGCCCGGGACCUCCAUGUGGACCACAGGAGAUUCUGCUGCCCUUACUGUAAGGAGGACAUGUGAGUGAUCGCUAUGCAGAUUAGCCGUGUGUCCUGCCAGACCAUAGACAGGAUUGAGAGUCCAUGAGUAGCAAGAUGGGCUGCCUGGACCACCAAGCCUGUCAGGCUGGCGCUGGAAUGAGAUAGCACUUGGCAUGGUGCCCACUCACGGGCUGCCCUCAGUAAAUGAAGAGGACAAGGACGUGGGCAAGGGGGUAAGAACUCUGUGGAGGGUCUGCCCACCUGGCAAAGGCUCCUCAGGACAGGGAUGAGGUGUGCUGGCCCCACAUAGACUCCAGGCCUCCCCCAGUGCCACCCAUGCAGAUGAGCCCUGUGAGCCAGGGGCUGUGUGGAGGGCUGUGUCCAUGCACCAUGCUCCUCCUGCUGAGGCAUCUGGGCAUGUUGGGGGGAGGGAAGGCCCACUGGAGUCCUGGGCUGCCAUGGCAACCUGCUGUUGAUGUACCAGCUUGAGCGACGCAAAUUUCUCCUUUUCUUUUUCAAUAUGGUGCUGGGGAUGGAGCCCGGGCCUUUUCUGAUGCUAAGUGUGCUCUAUCCCACUGAGCUGCACCUCGGGCUCUGAGUGUGUGUUUGUUAAUUACUUAUUAGUUAGGGAGGUCAGAGUCUGACGCGGUCUCUCUGGGCUCAGAUCAAGGGGCCGGCAGGGCCCGCUCCCUCCUGAGGUUCCAGGUGGGAUCCGUUGUCCUGCUUCUCCUGGUUCGGUGCCGCCUGCAUUCGUCGGCUUUCGGCCCCCCCCCCAUCCUGGAGCCAGCUGCCGCUUCUCACUCGUCCUCUGACCACAGCUGGGAAAGGUCUCGUGCUUUUCAGGAUCCGCGUGGUUAUGAGGUCACCCCCUGAAGGGUGAGGGAAAUGGAGACCUCAGCCCUGCUCAGGGGCCAGGCCCAGGGUCCUCCAACAGAUGCCCACCCUCCUUUCCCACCUGGGGUGGAGGGUCUUCGCCUGGAGGGGCCCCCCCGCUUGAAGACGGCCCCAGCUCAGUGACAGGAGAAGGGAGGGAGGAGGGAGCUGCUGCCUGGGCAGGACCUCCGCAUGUUGGUGCUGCUGGCCUAGGCUUCCUUCUCCUCCUCCCCAGACCCCGUGGCCUACAAGGUUAGUUUUCUCGUCUCUCAGGUCAAAAGCUGAAGCUCUCAGAGGAGCCGCAGUGUCCAAGGAGGAGACUUGCUUCUACAGAGAACCCGUGAAACCUUGUGGUUGGCAGAAAAGUAGGUGUGACUGGCACUGUCCCAUGACAGGAGGGCAGAGGUGCCGAGAUGUCAAUGGUCCCCGAGAGUCCUGGGGCACAGGCCUAGGCACUCACUGAUGGGCAGCUGAGAAGUGUCUGGAAUCACAUCUGUGGUUGUAAAGCUGGAGAAACAGCCUCAGAAAGGGGUAUUCAUUUUCCCGAAGACACACAGCUACUGGAGAGCUCUUCUGCUCUGACCUUCCACCUUGCCCCUGUGUCCUUCCCUGCAGGUGCACCGCACGCUCUGGAUCUGUGGGGCAGUCUGGGGGGAGGCUGGAUGGUCUGUUGUUAGAGCGCUUAGCUGUCCCUCUGGAAAGAAUCUUUCUCUAACAUGAAGUCACACCUAGACAGGGGCCAGGCAGUGCACAGUGUGGUGGUUAAAAGCUCCUGCAUGUGGAGCUGGGCCAUUCUGAGCUCAAAUCCUGAUGCCACCACCUGGGGUGCUCUUUGGCAUAUUGCUGACCUCUCUGUACUUAGGUUUUCCCAUCUGCAAAAUGGGGAUGAGAUGUUACAAGACUCCAGAGGACCCCUGGGAGGCCCUUGCUGGCAACAGACCCUGCCCAGAGCCCUCCCCUCCCACACAGCACUGCACAUACCCAAGGGAAGAUGGACACCUUCCCACCCCCAGCAUGGCCACAAAGAUUCAGGCUGAUUUCUAAACAAACUGCUGACCACUGUCCUUGGGCCUCACCAGGUGCAGGGCUCAAUGUCCUGGAUCAAUCUGGACUUGUUCUGGGGCUGGGGAGCUUCCAGUUAGAAGCCUGACUGGUCCCCACUUCUGCCCAUCACCAGGCAAAGGAUCUACGACCUUGGACAGGCUCUGUCCAGCCAGGAGCUGCUCUUGCUCCCCAACAUCAUGAGGCAGGACCGUGAGCACCACUGCCCUUCCUGUUUUUAUAGGUGGGUCAACUGAGGCCCAGAGACCCUAGAAAACUUGCCCGAGGCUGCACCCUGGCAAGGACAGGGCUGGACCUUGGUGGUGGCUAGACUCCAAGCCCAGGGCUGCAUGGAACCGCCUGCUCCCUCCAGGGACACGGCCUUUCCUCUCUCACUUAUCCAGUAGCCCUUGGUUCUCUCCAGACAGGCGGCAGCUCCUCCUGCCACACUGGCAGGACAGGCCUGCUGCUCUCGGGACAGAGGGGCCGUGAGAUGGCCAUAGGAGGAGGGGACCUGCAGCUUGCUCACAGAGGGCAGGUGUGCAUGGCAAAGGCGGAGGCUGAGCAGCUGGAAGUGUCCCUCCGCAGGGGUUUGGGCCACAGCACACAUUUUGGCCUGGGUGUGGCGAGCUGCUCUGAAUAAGAAAAUGAGAGAAUUUUCCAAGAGCAGCAUUUGGAGCUGGGGUAGCCUUUGAUAUGGGAGGGUGGGCCAGGGCAUGCACCCAAGGCUGGAGCCCGAAGAGGGCACCGUCGGUCAGUGUCCCCCUGAGCUGUCUGUGCCACGGCCGCCGCCUUGGGCCUGGCACUGGAGGAGUUAAGCUGCAGCAGGCACCUUGGCAUGUCGCACUGGCCAGAGUGUCCAGCGCCCCACCCCCACUGCUUUUUUCCUUUUUGCCUUUUCCUUCUUAAUUAAUCAUAGGCUGCUGCCCAAUUUAAAUAUGGAAAUGCCCAGGCUGGGCCAUGGGAUUAUUCAUGAGGCCAGGCCGGCUGUCCGGGGCACUGGGGCUACGGGGAGCAUCCGCAUCUCCUCCUUUCUGAUGUGUGUGAAAUUAUGUGCACAAAAAGGCGCCUCCUUAUCUGGGUGUGUGAACUAAAUAAAUAAAUAAGGGCUUUUGUUUGUUUGCCGGCUCCUGCACAUGACUGUUUUGACUGAACCGCUCGUGUUGUCUGCGCCUUUAUGGGACUCGGGAGACGGGGAGACGG
rnacentral:lncRNA from 1 species